UACGGGGGGGGCAAGCGUUGUUCGGAAUUACUGGGCGUAAAGGGCGCGUAGGCGGCCUUCUAAGUCGGACGUGAAAUCCCUCGGCUUAACCGAGGAGCUGCGUCCGAUACUGGAAGGCUUGAAUCCGGGAGAGGGAUGUGGAAUUCCAGGUGUAGCGGUGAAAUGCGUAGAUAUCGGGAGGAACACCUGCGGCGAAGGCGGGUUGCUGGGCUGACACUGACGCUGAUGCGCGAAAGCUAGGGGAGCGAACGGG
rnacentral:rRNA from 1 species